GAGUACUUUUCGUCAGGGUUUGGUGAUUGGAAGUAAACCUGUAAUUUACCCAGUGCUCCACUGGCUUCUUCAGAGGACUAAUGAACUGAAGAAAAGAGCAUAUUUAGCUCGUUUUUUAAUAAAACUUGAGGUACCAAGUGAGUUUCUUCAGGAUGAAACUGUGGCUGACACCAAUAAACAGUAUGAAGAGUUAAUGGAAGCCUUUAAAACUUUGCAUAAAGAAUAUGAGCAGCUCAAGAUAUCUGGAUUUUCUACAGCAGAAAUAAGAAAGGAUAUCAGUGCAAUGGAAGAAGAAAAGGAUCAGCUCAUUAAGAGAGUUGAACAUUUGAAGAAAAGGGUUGAGACAGCUCAGAAUCAUCAAUGGAUGCUUAAAAUAGCAAGGCAACUUCGAGUUGAAAAAGAGAGAGAAGAAUAUCUUGCACAACAGAAACAGGAACAAAAGAAUCAGCUAUUUCAUGCAGUGCAAAGAUUGCAAAGAGUACAAAACCAGCUGAAAAGCAUGCGCCAAGCUGCAGCAGAUGCAAAGCCUGAAAGUUUAAUGAAGAGGCUAGAGGAGGAGAUAAAAUUUAAUUUAUAUAUGGUAACUGAAAAAUUUCCUAAAGAAUUAGAAAAUAAGAAAAAGGAAUUACAUUUUUUACAAAAAGUAGUUUCAGAGCCAGCUAUGGGCCAUUCUGAUCUUCUUGAACUUGAAUCUAAAAUAAAUGAAAUAAACACAGAAAUUAACCAGUUGAUUGAAAAGAAAAUGAUGAGAAAUGAGCCCAUUGAAGGCAAACUCUCACUGUAUAGGCAACAG
rnacentral:circRNA from 1 species